UUAACUUGAUUUUUUGUUUGUUAGGUUUAAUAAGAAAUUAAAGUCAAGGUAAUAAUUCUUUGAUUAUUUUAGGGGACGAUAAGACCCUAAAAGCUUUAUAAGUUUAUUGAUUUAUAGUGUUAAAUAGAUAUUUAUUUUACUGGGGCGGUAUAAGUUAAUUUGCUAUACGAGUUAUAUGUGAUCCUUUAUAUUAGGAUGUGUUGGUUAAGUUACUUUAGGGUUAACAGUGCAAUAUUUUUGAAGAGAUCUUAUCGAUAAAAGUGUUUGCAACCUCGAUGUUGAAUUAAAAUAUCUACGUGGGGUAGAAAAUAUAGUAGAGGGUUUGUUCAACCUUUAAAUUUUUACAUGAU
rnacentral:rRNA from 1 species